CGGAGGCAGCAGUGAGGAAUAUUGCACAAUGGGGGAAACCCUGAUGCAGCAACGCCGCGUGAGUGAUGAAGGCCUUCGGGUUGUAAAGCUCUGUCUUCAGGGACGAUAAUGACGGUACCUGAGGAGGAAGCCACGGCUAACUACGUGCCAGCAGCCGCGGUAAUACGUAGGUGGCAAGCGUUGUCCGGAUUUACUGGGCGUAAAGGGAGCGUAGGCGGAUACUUAAGUGGGAUGUGAAAUACCCGGGCUCAACUCGGGUGCUGCAUUCCAAACUGGGUGUCUAGAGUGUUGGAGAGGAAAGUGGAAUUCCUAGUGUAGCGGUGAAAUGCGUAGAGAUUAGGAAGAACACCAGUGGCGAAGGCGACUUUCUGGACAAUAACUGACGCUGAGGCUCGAAAGCGUGGGGAGCAAACAGGAUUAGAUACCCCAGUA
rnacentral:rRNA from 1 species